rnacentral:rRNA from 1 species
UACGGAGGGGACUAGCGUUGUUCGGAAUUACUGGGCGUAAAGCGCACGUAGGCGGAUUUGUAAGUCAGGGGUGAAAUCCCGGGGCUCAACCUCGGAACUGCCUUUGAUACUGCAAAUCUCGAGUCCGGAAGAGGUGAGUGGAAUUCCUAGUGUAGAGGUGAAAUUCGUAGAUAUUAGGAAGAACACCAGUGGCGAAGGCGGCUACAC